CUCCAACAGGUUCUGUGUCUUGGCUGGCUGUGUGCUGUAGAAGUUUCCUGAAUUUUUCUAGAGUUACUAUGAAGGGCAACAAGGGUGAAACGUACAGAUAGCGCCUAGCGAGAUUCCUAGCAUGGGUACCAAUCAUUCCUGACAUGCCUUGAAUUCAAGGGCCAAGAGAGGUUAUACAGAUGCUCAACAAAGGAGCAGUAAGAGUCCAGCUUAAUGCUGAGAUACAAGGAUGUUGCAGAAACCAAGCCUCCUCCGUGGCCCCACCCAACAGAGGGCCCAGGGAACAGGCAACAGCUCUCACUGGCAACAGAGGUAGGCACUGACCCUGGUUGGACCAGCUUCAGAGUAACCCGUUCCUUGGAUCAAUAUAAGUCUUCUCCUCCGAUUUUCCUAUCUGGAAGUGGAAAAAAGGAAAAAUAGGUGAAAAAUCUGAACAGCAAAGAAGAUCUACAGAU